rnacentral:rRNA from 1 species
ACGCUGGCGGCGUGCCUAAUACAUGCAAGUCGAGCGAGCUGAAUUCAAAGAUCCCUUCGGGGUGAUUUGUUGGACGCUAGCGGCGGAUGGGUGAGUAACACGUGGGCAAUCUGCCCUAAAGACUGGGAUACCACUUGGAAACAGGUGCUAAUACCGGAUAACAACAUGAAUCGCAUGAUUCAAGUUUGAAAGGCGGCGCAAGCUGUCACUUUAGGAUGAGCCCGCGGCGCAUUAGCUAGUUGGUGGGGUAAAGGCCUACCAAGGCAAUGAUGCGUAGCCGAGUUGAGAGACUGAUCGGCCACAUUGGGACUGAGACACGGCCCAAACUCCUACGGGAGGCAGCAGUAGGGAAUCUUCCACAAUGGACGCAAGUCUGAUGGAGCAACGCCGCGUGAGUGAAGAAGGUCUUCGGAUCGUAAAGCUCUGUUGUUGGUGAAGAAGGAUAGAGGCAGUAACUGGUCUUUAUUUGACGGUAAUCAACCAGAAAGUCACGGCUAACUACGUGCCAGCAGCCGCGGUAAUACGUAGGUGGCGAGCGUUGUCCGGAUUUAUUGGGCGUAAAGCGAGCGCAGGCGGAAUGAUAAGUCUGAUGUGAAAGCCCACGGCUCAACCGUGGAACUGCAUCGGAAACUGUCAUUCUUGAGUGCAGAAGAGGAGAGUGGAACUCCAUGUGUAGCGGUGGAAUGCGUAGAUAUAUGGAAGAACACCAGUGGCGAAGGCGGCUCUCUGGUCUGCAACUGACGCUGAGGCUCGAAAGCAUGGGUAGCGAACAGGAUUAGAUACCCUGGUAGUCCAUGCCGUAAACGAUGAGCGCUAGGUGUUGGGGACUUUCCGGUCCUCAGUGCCGCAGCAAACGCAUUAAGCGCUCCGCCUGGGGAGUACGACCGCAAGGUUGAAACUCAAAGGAAUU